AUUGAACGCUGGCGGCAUGCCUUACACAUGCAAGUCGAACGGUAACAGGUCUUCGGAUGCUGACGAGUGGCGAACGGGUGAGUAAUACAUCGGAACGUGCCUAGCAGUGGGGGAUAACUACUCGAAAGAGUGGCUAAUACCGCAUGAGAUCUACGGAUGAAAGCAGGGGAUCGCAAGACCUUGUGCUACUAGAGCGGCCGAUGGCAGAUUAGGUAGUUGGUGGGAUAAAAGCUUACCAAGCCGACGAUCUGUAGCUGGUCUGAGAGGACGAUCGGCCACACUGGGACUGAGACACGGCCCAGACUCCUACGGGAGGCAGCAGUGGGGAAUUUUGGACAAUGGGCGAAAGCCUGAUCCAGCAAUGCCGCGUGCAGGAUGAAGGCCUUCGGGUUGUAAACUGCUUUUGUACGGAACGAAAAGCCCUGGGUUAAUACCCUGGGGUCAUGACGGUACCGUAAGAAUAAGCACCGGCUAACUACGUGCCAGCAGCCGCCGUAA
rnacentral:rRNA from 1 species